rnacentral:rRNA from 1 species
AGAGUUUGAUCAUGGCUCAGGAUGAACGCUGGCGGAGUGCCUAACACAUGCAAGUCGAGCGGCAGCGCGAGUAGUUUACUACUUGGCGGCGAGCGGCGGACGGCUGAGUAACGCGUGGGAACAUGCCCCAAAGUGAGGAAUAACUGCCCGAAAGGGUAGCUAAUGCCGCAUACGAUCUUCGGAUUAAAGGAUUUAUCCGCUUUGGGAGUGGCCUGCGUACGAUUAGAUAGUUGGUGAGGUAAUGGCUCACCAAGUCUACGAUCGUUAACUGGUUUGAGAGGAUGAUCAGUCAGACUGGAACUGAGACACGGUCCAGACUCCUACGGGAGGCAGCAGUGAGGAAUCUUCCACAAUGGACGAAAGUCUGAUGGAGCAACUCCGCGUGCAGGAUGAAGGCCUUCGGGUCGUAAACUGCUUUUACGAGUGAAGAAUAUGACGGUAACUCAUGAAUAAGGGUCGGCUAACUACGUG